rnacentral:rRNA from 1 species
UGGCCUACGGGACGCAGCAGUGGGGAAUAUUGCACAAUGGGGGAAACCCUGAUGCAGCAAUGCCGCGUGGGUGAAGAAGCACUCCGGUGCGUAAAGCCCUGUCAGCAGGGAAGAAAAUGACAGUACCUGACCAAGAAGCCCCGGCUAACUACGUGCCAGCAGCCGCGGUAAUACGGAGGAUGCGAGCGUUAUCCGGAUUUAUUGGGUUUAAAGGGUGCGCAGGCGGUCUGUUAAGUCAGCGGUCAAAGCCCGGGGCUCAACCCCGGCCCGCCGUUGAAACUGGCAGUCUCGAGUUGGAGAGAAGG